AUUUAAACGGAGGGGCAAGGGGGUCAGUUACUCACCUUCAUGUGCAAAGGGAAGCAGAGAGAAAGUAGCCUGGAGACAAAUACACACACCCACACGAGGGACAAUAACUGUCUAGGUUCCUGCUGCUUUUCCAAUUGCUGGUUCCAGUUCCCAAUGAGGCCUGACUGGAGCUCUUGGCCGUCUGCAUUCCCUGGCGCUGGUCCUGCAUCUUCAAAGUCGGAAACAGUGAGCUGAGUGCCUUUCAUGCCCCCUUCUCUUUGGUUCUUCCUCUGGCUCUUUUGCCUCCUCUUGUCCUUAGAAGGACCCUUGUGCCGACCCACCCACAUAAUCCAGGAUGAUCUCAUCUCAAGGGUUUUUUUCUGGCUACUCUGGACUAUAGAGUUAGAGGUCAAGGGUGGAAAAAGAGAGACACCAAAGAGACUACCACAGUAAUCCAGGAUUUCUGUCAUGUUGAACAUGGUUUAUGAGAGGAAGGGAAUAAAAAUGAAGACAAGAUUUGGCCCAAGCAUUUGCCACUUGUAAGGGCAUAACGGGAGAAAUGAACACAUUGCAUGAAAUAAGGUAAGUGGUUCUUGAGGAGAAUCAGCUUCAUGGACAUUCUGCCUUGACCAGCCUGAGAAGUUGAAAGACCCAAGCCUAAAGAAAGUGAAUUUGCUUCUCUUCCUGCCCAAACUCGUGUUGACAACUGUGGAACAACAGCAGCAAUGACAACAACAGCAACACAUGCACACGCACACACGAAAGAUGAGACUUCUGCCUUUUGCUUCCAAGCUGUUCAUAUGGUGAUCAUUUAGCCAUUUCUUCCAUAAACUUCCUUUUAUCCUGUGGCUGAACUGACUGGCUUCACUUCGAGAUCAGGGACAUGGUGGUGUAUUGAGGACCUACACAGAAACUGGGUUCUUGUGGACUCUGUUGGAGCUCUCAUCUCAACCUGACAACCUGGAGAUGGGCAAAGUACAGGGGGAGUUACGCUUCGCUCAGGACCUUGCGUGUGUGGUCUUUCUUGGACAAGAAAGCACAUUGGACUCCUCCCGUCAAGCCCUUUCUUCCCUGUAUCUGAGGUGGGACGCCUACCACGACAAGGCUCUUGCCAAGCAGUGCCACGUCUGCACCCAGGAUCCGACCCGGCGAACCCUGGGCCACCGAAGCGGAACGUGCGCACUUAACCGCUGCGCCACCAGGCUGGCCCCAGAAUUUCUAAUUUUUAAAAACAAUUUAUUUCUCUCUAUGUAUUCUCCAUUUAGUGAGACCCUGUCUUCAUACUUUCCUUAAGUUCUUUAGGCAUGGUUUACUUUAGUCCUUUGAGCAUAUUUAAAAUAUCCCAUGUAAUAUCUUUGUCUAGGAAGCCAAUAUAUGUGCUUCCCCAGGGAAGGUUUCUAUUGACUGAUAUUUAUCCUGUGUAUGGACCAUACUUUCUUGUUUCUUUAUAUGCCUCAUAAAUUUUUGUUCAAAACUAGACAUUUUAAGUAAUAGAAUAUGCCAAUUCUGGAAAUAAGAUUCUUCCCUCUUUCCAGUGAUUGUUGUUGAUCUCAGAUGUGGUUGCUGUUUUUUUGUUUAAUAACAAAUGGGGAAAAUGGCAAUUAAAGGAUUAAAGUAUAAAUAAAUUGUGAUCUAUGAAUACAAGGACAUAUUACUAGAUGUUAAAGGUCACAGAUAGUAGACAACUGUGGCUUGAAGUCUGAGGUCAGGAGAUGUUAACUGCAAAGAGGCUCAAGGAAAUUCUGAGGUGACGGAAUUGUGGUAUAUAU
rnacentral:lncRNA from 1 species